UCGCCCAAGAGAUCGGGAUAACACCUGGAAACAAGAUGCUAAUACCGGAUAACAACAGAUGAUGCCUAUCAACUGUUUAAAAGAUGGUUCUGCUAUCACUCUUGGAUGGACCUGCGGUGCAUUAGCUAGUUGGUAGGGUAACGGCCUACCAAGGCGAUGAUGCAUAGCCGAGUUGAGAGACUGAUCGGCCACAUUGGGACUGAGACACGGCCCAAACUCCUACGGGAGGCAGCAGCC
rnacentral:rRNA from 1 species